rnacentral:lncRNA from 1 species
GGAAAUGGGAGAAAUUUGCAUCCUCUUGCCACUAGAUGGCAACAUCUGAGCGUGAAGUCCCAGCUGAGUACUGAGAGUACUGGGAUUCAAGAGUGUUCCUGGGAUUGCUCUGGAAGGUCUCAGCAAGUCACCUAGCCAGCCAGAAAGCUAGCUGGUUCCCCAAUCCUAAAAAAAUCAAGGUUAAAGCUCCUAUUCAAUUCUCUCAAGUGCAGUGCCCCUCCCCUGCUUAAAAAAUUAGCAAUGGCUCUCUCCUGCUAAAGAGGCUAAUAACAUUACCUGUUGUCCCCACAUUUGGAUUCAACCCUGAUUUAUUGACAUUUUAUGUGCCCUGCAGUAUGUGUAGAGCAGAUCAGUGGCCUGAUAUGGGGGUACUACCACAUUAAGUCUAAUGCGGACAGGCCACCCCAAUCACACAGAGUCCCUGGCUUCCCUCUCCCAACCCCAAUUCAUUCCUUGCUUAGCCUUAACCAUGUUUUUACCUUUCCUGACCACCAUCAGACAUAUUUCACCCAUGCUUCUUUUCUCCAAGCGGGGAGCAACAUAUAUGUUCCUCCCUGCUCUUUCUGCUUUGGGGAAUGUCCCCUGAGCUCAUGUGGUCUCUGGGUAGAACUCAAGGUGCAUGCCCAGAGGCACCGAGGUCAGCAGAGUUCAUUGCAACAUUCACUUAUCCAUUGAUGCUUCCAAUACCCAUUCACUGAGCAGCUCACAGUUCAGACACUGUACCACAUCCAUGUGACUAAGGUCUGAUUCAUGUCUUCCACAAGCAAACCAGUGAGGCAGAGGGAGCUGUAGAGAGAUUUCAGCCUGAACAUAAGCAUUGGAUUGCAUACACCUGCUAGGUGAAGUUGGGGUGACACAGAGGGAGGGGGCACUGCCCCAUCCAGGACAUGGCAAAGGGGCAGAAGUUAGGAGAAGCCAAAUGUCAGCUUCUGGUCUUGGUCUCAUGUGGGUAAACUAGGAUCUAGCUCUAGUUUCCCAUCUGGGUCAUCUAAGAUCUAGCUGUGGAUAUGGGUCAUGUAGCCAUAGCCACUUUGGUUCUAAGCUUCAGGUCUUUGAGUUAGACAAAAAGGUUCAAUCCUGAGCUGGUGAAGUCUUUAGGUUCCUUCUGGAGCUGGGAAGCCAAGAUCUUAU